rnacentral:rRNA from 1 species
GUCGAACGGGUGAAGCAGUGCUUGCACUGUGAAUCUAGUGGCGCACCCGUUAGUAACGCGUGGGAAACUGCCCAUCACUGGGGAAUAACCUUUGGAAACGAACGCUAAUACCGCAUACGCCGGAAACGGGAAAGAUUUAUCGGUGAUGGAUGUGCCCGCGUUGGAUUAGCUUGUUGGUGGGGUAACGGCCUACCAAGGCGAUGAUCCAUAGCUGGUCUGAGAGGACGAUCAGCCACGCUGGAACUGAGACACGGUCCAGACUCCUACGGGAGGCAGCAGCUAAGAAUAUUGGGCAAUGGAGGAAACUCUGACCCAGCCAUGCCGCGUGAAUGAAGAAGGCCUUCGGGUUGUAAAGUUCUUUUAGUCGUGAAGAUGAUGACAGUAGCGACAGAUAAAGCACCGGCUAACUUCGUGCCAGCAGCCGCGGUAAUACGAAGGGUGCAAGCGUUGUUCGGAUUUACUGGGCGUAAAGCGUCCGUAGGUGGUUUGUUAAGUCAGGGGUGAAAUCCCGGGGCCCAACCCCGGAACUGCCUUUGAUACUGGCAAGCUGGAGCGUGAUAGAGGAAGAUGGAAUAUCUGGUGUAGGGGUGAAAUCCGUAGAUAUCAGAUGGAACACCAAUGGCGAAGGCAGUCUUCUGGAUCAUUGCUGACACUGAGGGACGAAAGCGUGGGUAGCAAACAGAAUUAGAUACUCUGGUAGUCCACGCCCUAAACGAUGCAUGCUUGUUGU